UUGGCGUGCUCGUGCACGCUGGGUGAACCUUUGUUCGUCCACGUGACAGUGACACGUUCGUGACGAGCUGCAAAUGAAGUUUUCUGUCCGUGAACGGUGAGCCCGAGAAAUCAAACGCACCCAUUGCUCAGGGACACUCCGGCAGUCUGCCGUGGAGCUCGAACCUGUGACUGCUGCAGGACGAGGCCGUGAUGAGAUCCACAGACCGCUCAGCUCGGCUCGGCUCGGCUCGGCUCAGGCAGGGAUCACAUCAAAGCAUCAGAGCCCCGUCCACAAUCAAACACGCAUGUCUCAGAACGCCACACAGAGCAGCUCCCACAGCCUGUGAGGUGACGGCGAGGUGGAGAGCCUCACUAAUCCUCACCACGCCUCGCUGCAUGUGAGGAAUGCUUAAGACCUUUUAACCAAGACGCUGCUCGCUGUGACGGGGGGGCGAUGAUGGUUUGGAGGUCAGAGAAACUCCAAACAUGCGUCUGCAAGAAUUCAAAGUUUCCUUGUAACAGAUGAAGAAUAAAAACCCGUAGAAAGCUGCGAUGUGAUCAUAUGAAACUGUAAAACAUCUCGUGUAUGUCACCUGAUGAAGUUUCUGAUCUGCUCACUAAAAGCAGCCUCGUCUGUAUUUACAAGCUGCUCAUGCUCGGCUGUGUCCGGUCCGAUCGUGCUGUGUAGUUUCACGUGUGGAUGUGC